AUUGAACGCUGGCGGCGUGCUUAACACAUGCAAGUCGAGCGGUAACAGGCGUAGCAAUACGUGCUGACGAGCGGCGAACGGGUGCGUAAUACAUGGGAAUCUGCCCUUUGGUGGGGAAUAACCCGGCGAAAGCCGGGCUAAUGCCGCAUGAGAUCUUCGGAUGAAAGCGGGGGAUCGUAAGACCUCGCGCCGAUGGAUGAGCCCAUGUCGGAUUAGCUAGUUGGUGAGGUAACGGCUCACCAAGGCGACGAUCCGUAGCUGGUCUGAGAGGACGGCCAGCCACACUGGGACUGAGACACGGCCCAGACUCCUACGGGAGGCAGCAGUGGGGAAUAUUGGACAAUGGGCGAAAGCCUGAUCCAGCGACGCCGCGUGUGUGAAGAAGGCCUGCGGGUUGUAAAGCACUUUUCGAUGGGAACGAGAUGUGCCGGGCUAAUACCCCGGCAAGCUGACGUUACUCAAUGAAGAAGCACCGGCUAACU
rnacentral:rRNA from 1 species